GGUAAGUGGAUUUUACUGUUUGCCACUGUAACUUAUCAACCGUUCCCGGAGAAGAAAAACCUUUCACAGAACAGAAGCAACGUGCUUGAAGCAGCAAAAGCAAUUUGCUCCGGAAACUGCCUUGGCAGAGGAUGGUUAUCUCCAAGAUCUCCACCCAUCCAUGGACGGGCAUCUCCAAGGCCACUCAUCCAUCUCCUGAUGCCCUCUCCUCCUGUCUCCUUCCAGUGUUAUGAAGACGUGUGAGUGCCAUGGGCAGCUACAGGAGGCAGCUCCAUCAUGAUUUAUGACCAAAGAUGCAAACUCCCCUGGGACCCACGUGGAACCUGCAGUGCCCCGUGGGUCAGGCUUCAGGGAAUUGCUGGUCAAAUAUAGAAAAUGAAGAUAUUCAUGGAAGAAUACAAGCAAAUGGUGGAAAACCUACUGCUGUGCAUGACAGGGGAGGAUGAUGCAUGUGUGUGUGGCCGUUGUACCUACACAGCUUCUCAGUCCUGCAUGAAAAAGCCUGGGGAUGAUUUACACUACGGGAGCAAUGGGUUGCAAGCACAGAUGCAACUUGGAGUGUUAAAGACGGUUAAAGCAUCUUUAAAGGCGAAGGGUCAUUUUCUGAGAGCUGGAGUAAAGCAGUUCAUCAAUAAUGAAGGAGCCAGAGCUGGAGGAGCAGCAGCAGCAACGCCGGAGCACUUGGGAAAAUGCAAUUAGGAGAAUUGCCUGACGCUCUGCAAACUGCCCCGCUAAUUUGCUUGAAGGAAACAUCCAAACUCACUUUAAUAUUUCAACGAUUUCAUCGCAGCGAAAUCUAAUAAGCUAAGCCGAGCAACCUAAGUACUAGGAGGGGAAUAAAGAUAAUUUUUUUUAUUUUUUUUUUUUAAAA
rnacentral:lncRNA from 1 species